AUGCCUGUAAGUGGAUUGUUUGGUGUGCUGCUUGUAGCAAGAAAUUCCCCAUGGGGCCACCAGAGAGAAGAUCCUGCUCUUCAUAUCUAUAUUGUGGUGCUGGAGAAGACUCCUGAGAGUCCCUUGGACCGCAAGAACUGCUGUGGGCGCCCUGCAUUCUCCACCGAUCCAGGCCAACAACAUCGUUCAGUUUUAAUCUGCCUUGCGAUGGCCAGUGCUUAAUUAUGCAACGCAGCGCAGUCACAUCUGUUGUGGAGGAGGCGGCCCAGGGAAGUCUGGGCAGCGAUGAGCGGAAGAGUUUCAUUUAGUUGUCAGGAGGCUUGGAAUGGUUCCUGGCUUGCUUUUGUCAAUGUGCCUGGGAGAAUGGUUUGGCUUCAGGCACGGGAGCCGCCAGAGCGAGGGGAGAUGCGCUGUCAGGGAAACUUUUGGACUACUGCUGUGAUCAGAAGAAUGAACUCCGUCCCAGAACUGUCUGACUGAGGCCUGCGAGACAACCAGGAGGGAAUCGCCUCCCAAUUUCCAGCAUGGACUUCUUUCUUCUCCCACAGACCAACCCCCCUCGCCAGCCUCACAAGGCAAUAAAGCAUAAUCAAGCAAGGUCUCCCUUUCCAGAUUAUUACCUUGAUUUAACAGAGCCUCACUUUCUCAAAAUGGGCAUUAUAGAAGACAGGGCUCAAGACGUGAUACUGCACAAGAAAAAAGGCUCCUGGGAAAUUUAUUCAAGUUUCUAGCCAUCAGGACAGUCUCAUGGGUCCAGCAACAUUCCCAGUCUUUCCUAGAGAUGGUGCUAAAGCCCGGAGUGGCUCGCUGCUUUAAUGUUGGUUUCAGAAUUGCUUGCUUGAUUUAUCUGAGACCUCAGUGUAUGCUCUGGAGUUUGUAAAGGCCUCUGGAUAUUUUACACCCUGUAGUUUCGGCGCUCGGUUUGCACCAUGAUAUGUUGAUAAUUGGCUUGAAUCCAGGAUCUGCUUUCCACAGGAGGAAAGGCGCCACUCAUGGAAGGUCCCGGUUUUGGAGGAUCCCCCCUCACCACAGCACACCCAUCCAGCAAGGUCCUCUGACUCUGUGUAGCAUUUUCGGGCGCUACCAUGGGAAGGAAGGAGUGGGGAAGCCCCCUUCUGCCAAUACAGCUGAAAUCUGGAUCCAGCCCCAAAGAAUUUUACGGAUUUAUACAGCAAGCCACUUUGGAAGGCUGCAGUCUUGAUAACUGACUAAGAAAUGUAUGUUCCAAUAAUACAUGAAACUGAAUAUUAACUGUUGUGGUGGUGUUUAACAGCAACAAAACAGCAGUGAUUUGACCAAGGCAGCCCAGUAAAGCAGUGGCAGAGCUACAAUGGUAGCCACCAUUUCCCUGUCUGAGUAGACCUGCUAUUUUGCAUGCUGCGUUGCUCCUCCGCUUUUGCAUUUCUGCUCCUCCUCCUGCUGAGAGUAGAUGCGCUGCCUCUUGCAGUGCUGCCGGCAGGCCUUUUGCCAGGGCGACGAUCCACUGCUGGCCGUCACAUUUCAAGGACUCUGAUCUCUUUGUGGCCCAGAGCAGAGCAGCUUUGACUGUUGCGCCUGUGAGCUGCCUUGUUCAAGAGACUUUUGGUGGUGCUGCACACAGCAGACAAGCACCCAGAUCAGCUCUUGGGAGGAGAUGGAGACCUACCUCAACCGUCAGGCCUAAAGAAUGACUCUGGAACUCUGCUGGUGUUGAUUAUUGUAAUAGCUCUGAAUGAAGGUCUUUUGGUAAAAGGUGGCACAACCUUUCUGGGCUGCCAUCCGCUGUGUGUUCGUGAGUGUUUUGCAGAAUGCAUAUGCUUGCCUGUUUACCAGGAGCUAGAACAUGGCUUGUCCUUCAGCCUGUUUAGUUAAUAGCUCAUGAUAGUUCCUGAAUGGAAAAUCCAUGCGCUCAGGGUGAUCCAAGACAGUAGGAAUGAAGGCAGUCUGAAUCUGGGAGACGUUUGCACCAAUGGAGGCGUUUCUCUUUACCACCUCCGUUCGGUGUGUGUAGAGGGGCAGAUUUAGGAAAACAAAUGGCUGGGAAGGAACGGUUUCAGAACUACCUACCCAGGUGUGGUGGUCCUGAUCCGGAUUGGAGCCCUGCACGCCUGUUUCUGAGCAGAGACCAGGCAAGAGACUAAGCUGUGUGCUGUGCUUGUGCUUGUGCUUUUGCAUAACUUGUGAUUUAGUUUCCAUAGAGCCAGACAAGGGAUACAACUGGGCUAAUUGAACAAGCUGGGUGUGUUUGUGUGGGGUGUGUGUGUCUGUGGGGUGGGGGAGUUAGGUGGAUUAAGCUGCUGUUUCUAUACAAAACUAACUAUUGUGCAGCCUUCUGGUAAUCAAAAAUAAACAAGCCUUACAAAGGCACCAUAAGUCUUAAA